CUUAUGACCCGUGGCUUCGCCCCCAGCCUGCCCGUCGAGUUCCCCAAGAUGGGCUCCUUCCGCAGGCCCAGACCGCGCUUCAUGAGCUCCCCGGCGCUCAGCGACCUGCCCCGCUUCCAGGCAGCCCGCCAGGCUCGGCAGCUGAGUUCCAACUCCGCUUGGAACAGCGUCCAGACUGCCGUGAUCAACGUCUUUAAAGGGGGCGGCUUGCAGAGCAAUGAGCUCUAUGCACUGAAUGAAAGCAUCAGGCGGCUGCUGAAGAGUGAACUUGGAUCAUUCAUUACAGACUAUUUCCAGAACCAGCUUCUAGCAAAAGGACUGCUGUUCGUGGAGGAGAAGAUCAAGCUGUGUGAAGGUGAAAAUCGCAUUGAGGUUCUGGCUGAAGUCUGGGACCACUUCUUCACUGAGACUCUCCCCACCCUGCAGGCCAUAUUCUAUCCAGUUCAGGGCCAGGAGCUGACCAUCCGCCAGAUUUCCCUGCUGGGCUUCCGCGACCUGGUGCUGCUGAAGGUGAAGCUGGAGGACUUGCUGCUGCUGGCGCAGCCCCAGCUGCCCUCGUCCAUCGUCCAGAUGUUGCUCGUCCUGCAGAGUGUUCACGAGCCCACAGGCCCAAGUGAGGGUUAUUUGCAGCUGGAGGAGCUGGUGAAGCAGGUGGUUUCUCCCUUCCUUGCCAUCAGCGAGGACCGUGGCCUCUCAGGCCCCACGUACGCAUUGGUGUUAAUUUUCCUGUAUCUGAUACCAAAAACCAUGCCUGACUGCAGCCCACCCCCUCAUGACUGGAAGAACCCCCAGUGAUGAAUUUCCUUUUGAGAAUGGAUGAAAACGUGAGGCCAGCUUACCGGGUGUGUGGCUGGAGAUCAGCUGCUGGCUGCCCACUGCAUUCCUACAGAGCUGAGCUUCAAAGAAAAGAGGGGAGGAGCAGCCUCCAGCAAGCUUCCCGCCCCUUCCCGGGCCUCCCGUCUGCAGAAGAAAGCAGGGCUUGCCGCAGUUUUUAGGGCCCCUUCAUGUUUCUCUGGAGACACCGGUUUAACCACAGUCACCACAAAUCUGAGGGUGCUGGCCCCAGUCUUCUGCCUGCCUGGUCCUCCACCCUCCCUCCCUCCCUCCCUCCUUCCCUGAUUCCACCCAGGAGCUGGCAAAAGCCGGCUAAAGGAAAACAGUACCCUACCCUCCCUGUGAGGAGGGCUGGGCGCCACCUUCCUGCACUGGGCAGGCCAGCUGGCCCCUGAGUUUGGGGUGGGAGGAUCCAGAGAGAUGUCAACAUGCCAGCGGGUUAGCCGGGCCAUGGCAGGGACCCCACCAUCUGCUGGACCAGGAGCCGGGAACACGAGUAGAUUUGGAAGUUUGUUCAGUGAGGACUCAGUCUAAGAGGGGAUGCCUUCAACUUUUCAGCUAUAAUAAGACUAAUAUAUACUGUCAUCAAAUUGUAAUCAAAGGCCUGAGGUUUUAUUCUUGUGCCAAGGACGGUCCUUGUCUCUGGGCGUUGUCACAGUAGAGCCCAAGAGGGGAGGAAAUGAUGUUCUUUUGAUUACUUUUUUUAUUAUAUUAUUAUUUCAACAAAUGUGUACUUAGAAGAGCCUGUCCUUGGCAUCUUGUGAGGUGCUGCAGGUGAUAUCUGUGACAAAACCGACCCACCCCUGCCCUCUGGCACAGGGACCAAUGAGGAAGUCACAAACACGAGAUGAUGACUCAUCAGAGUACAAGUGCUCCCAGAGGGGAGUCCAGGGCCCACAGCAGAGGACUGCACCUGGACUGGGCAGUCAGGGAAGACACCCUGGAGGAGGUGAUCCCUGCAAAGGGGCCCGGAGGAUGGAUACAAGUUGGCUGAGAAUCAAUGGGGAGGGAACAUUGACCAGGCAAAGGGAAAGAUCUCUGGGAGGCUUUUGCGGUUAUGGGGAGGCAGGUGGGGAGCAGGAGGGUGCAUCGUUUGAGGAACUGAGAGAGCUUUAGAGUUGCAGAGUGGCUGAUGGCAGGGGAAGCCCUGGGACAUGGACCACAGGCUGGGCACUGUGCAGGCUGGGCUGGAUAACAUGUUCCCAUUCACAGGUGAGGCAAACGGAGGUCAAGGUCGCUUGGCUGUUGGACACAGGCUUUCAAAGCCCCCAGCUCUUUGCCCUUGGCCAACUGUUCUCCCGCACUCCACUCGCUCCCCACCUGCCCUGUCAGCUCCAAGAGGUGACGGAUGGCGCUGGGGAACCGCGGAGAAGCUGGUCCUUCCUUCUCAGUUGUCGACUGAAAAAAAUGUACACCCUAAAAACUGAGAAUUAUGUUUUAGUCAAUGGACAACCUAAGUACUUAAGCACAGAAGACAGCCUGUCAGAUUGCUCUGGAGGACUGUUCCAAAGAGGGGAGGGGGAGGCUCGGAUAUAUAGAAGUUUUUGCAAAAAAGACCAGGUAGUUGGAAUAUUGUUAUUCCAACGAGAGAAUCCUAUCAAUUAGAGAAAAAUAGAUAUCGCAAGUUCGUGAAUUUAGCGCUUUUCUACAUAUGGGAAGAUGCGAGUCUGGGCUCAUUGAAAUCACGCCUUUUUAAAAAAAACUUUUAUAUUGGAGUAUAUUU